UUCUCUUGUGAAAUGGGCUUCGCAUCCACACAGCACUCAGGAUACUCUUCCACGGUCUGAAAGGAGGACAAGACUGCACAAUACCAGAGCACAUGACAAGGACAUACAUCUACCCUCCCCUUAACCGCUUUUCACACGGCCAGGCUGGGAGCAACCUAGUGGUUAUCACCAGACACUACCACAUAGUGUGGAUGUCUCCAAAAUCCACUCGGGUGAAAAGGGGCAGGGUCUGGAAGGAUAUGGAUUUAAUUUGUUUUUGAAUACUACCAGAGAAAUUAUCCAACAAGAAA
rnacentral:lncRNA from 1 species